UGUGAAGGUUCCCAAGCGUUCUUGCAGAGCUAAGACAGCGCUUGAUGCCCUGCAAGUGUUCCCUGAAACCUCAUUCUGUGUUAGCACCAGAUGAUGAGAUUGGGGGCCAGAGGUGCUCUGUUGGAAAGAAGGUAGCCCACCUGGGAGGAAUUUUCCAGAGAUCACUGUCUGAUGACCCUGUCUUGGAAUUGGAGCCAUGCAAGUUACACUGACCACGUUUGGGUUGGGAUAUUGAGGAGGUUAUGGUUAAAAGCAUACGAUGGGAGAUCAUAUUGUACUUGCGAGUGAGACCCGGCUGGAGGAAUGUUUUAAUUCUUCGGAAAUACCAAGUGGUCUCUCGUGUUUACCUUGGGUGUCUGUCAUUCCAUCCAAGCAAGUCCCAACUCACUCGUCCCGUACCUGAUUCCCAGACCUCUUCAGACGCAGUCAGAGAAAGCAUCUUGUCUUCAUUUUAUAGAGGAGGAAACUGAGGCAAAAGGAAACUACCCGAGUUUAUGCAUAAAGUUCGUAGUAGAACUGGAAUCAAUCGACCCAUCACCCCUUCUAUCAAUCAGUCACAUCACAGUAAUGAAUUUACUGCUACCGAACUGUGCACUUAAAUAUGGUUAAAAUAAUACAUUUUAUGUUUGUUAUAUUCUACCACAAUAAAUAAAUAUUUAGUCUC
ensembl:lncRNA MIATNB MIAT neighbor